GUGCUUGCUUUGGCAGCACAUACGUAAAGCUGGAACAAAACAGAGAAGAUCAGCAUGGCUCCUGUGCAAGAAUGACACCCAAAUUCAUGAAGUGUUCCAUAUUAAA